rnacentral:rRNA from 1 species
ACACGGUCCAGACUCCUACGGGAGGCAGCAGUGGGGAAUAUUGCACAAUGGGCGCAAGCCUGAUGCAGCCAUGCCGCGUGUAUGAAGAAGGCCUUCGGGUUGUAAAGUACUUUCAGCGGGGAGGAAGGUGUUGUGGUUAAUAACCGCAGCAAUUGACGUUACCCGCAGAAGAAGCACCGGCUAACUCCGUGCCAGCAGCCGCGGUAAUACGGAGGGUGCAAGCGUUAAUCGGAAUUACUGGGCGUAAAGCGCACGCAGGCGGUCUGUCAAGUCGGAUGUGAAAUCCCCGGGCUCAACCUGGGAACUGCAUUCGAAACUGGCAGGCUUGAGUCUUGUAGAGGGGGGUAGAAUUCCAGGUGUAGCGGUGAAAUGCGUAGAGAUCUGGAGGAAUACCGGUGGCGAAGGCGGCCCCCUGGACAAAGACUGACGCUCAGGUGCGAAAGCGU